rnacentral:rRNA from 1 species
UACGGAGGGUGCAAGCGUUACCCGGAAUCAUUGGGCGUAAAGCGUCCGCAGGUGGUUUGUUAAGUCGAAUAUUGAAUCUUGAAGCCCAACUUCAAGCCUGUGUUCGAAACUGGCAGACUAGAGUUUUUCAGAGGUACAUGGAAUUCUGUGUGUAGGGGUAAAAUCCGUAGAUAUACAGAGGAACACCAAAAGCGAAGGCAAUGUACUGGGAAACAACUGACACUCAUGGACGAAAGCGUGGGGAGCGAACGGGAUUAGAAC